GUCCACAUGCCCCUCUACUGUUCCAGUGCCACCAUGCGCCACUGUUCGCUUUGGUGUUGGCCACCCCACUGCCCUCUGGGACAUAGGAAGACAGCCUCCUGAACUGGCAGCAAUUGAGGAUAUAGAUGGACAAAUCACAAUUUCCUUUACUCCUUUGGCUCCUGUCCACAGGCCUCUCUACCUGAGUAAUGGGAGUCCAUUGCAAAGCCCUCUAUACCAUUAUAGUGACAAAAGCCCUACAGUCUUGGAAAAUACUGCUUUUGUCCUGUAGUGAAGAUUACAUUUUGCAGAAAGUGCUCUGGGUAAUGGUGGUUCGGAGAUGUUGGCUCUUCUUCUUAAGCUAGUUGCCCUUAUUUUCCAAGUUUCCAUUUAGCACAGAUGUUCUGUAAAGAAUUAUAAGAGUCCCUGGAGUUCUUGCCAAGAAGAUGCUGUUGAGGUCUACAUUAUCUACUACUCAUUGAUUGCUGAAAAUAUAAUCAUCAACUCAAUCAGUAAAUUUCAUUAAAAACCAAACAGAUGAAACAAUUUGACUAACUCUUCUUUGAGCUACAGAAGAAAAAGAACAUCCAUUAGAAAAAUAAACAGCAAUCAUGAAUAAAGUAUCUUGUUUUUAAUCUAGUCUUUUUAUAAGAUUGUCUCUAUUUCUAAAUUGUAGUUAUUCAUUCUGGGAAAAUCUGUAGUUUGUUUCUAAAUGAACGCACAAAUUACUUUAAGUACGAGAUAAACUUUUGGAAUUUAACAAUGCAGUAUUUGCUCUUUAAAUUGUUCCUUUCAUAGCAGCUAACAGAAGAGAACAAUAGUUUCUCCAUAUUCUUGGAAAAGUUUAUCUUGCAAGAAGGGUGAUACAAUCCUGUACUUAUUUUCUUUGUCAUUCUGAUAUGAUUAUUUAACUUCUUAUAUAUCCUGAGGUGACAAAGGAAUUUUUAGAGACCAUACUGCUCUUCACAGAACACUUCCAUUUUCUCUGAGCUAAACAUUAGGCAAAUUCUCUUAUUAGUUUUAGCUUAAGAUGAGUAUAUCUAAAGGAUCUCAUUUUUGCAAGGAUUUAAAAGGUCAGAAGAAUAAAUCAGAGAACUCCUAAAGUUAAACACAAUGCAUAUUAUUCUCCGGGCAGUAUGAAAAGGUAACUUUGUCCAGCUAUUGUGAUAGGUUGAUUUGAAUAAUCUCAAAAAAUUGAUACUACAGCUAAAUAGAAUAAUACAGACAUUGGAAAUUCAGCAUUCAAGAGCAGUAGCCUUCAUUAGCUCACUCAAUGUGUACUUCCUGAGUUUUUCCACUGUAUAAAGGCCAGAGAGGCACAAGGGGGAACAGAAAACUGUAUGUACCACAGCAGAUUACAGGUUGCCCUAUGCAAAGAGCACGGAAUCUACAGAAAUUAGAGGAUCAGAAAUACACAUGAAAUUUAAUCGUGAUAUAAGUCAAGAAGAGAAAACAACAUAUUUAUGUUUACUAAACAUAUACUCAUUUACUAAAAAUGAGAGGCACAAAUAAUAAAAGUUAUAGAAGAUCACAGCAGUGCAUAUGCAUUUUGAAGAUAGUUGGUCUUAGGUAAAAGUCAUUGGCCAGCAGUUGUGACCAUCAUCAUUAAGUGGCUUCAUAACAUUGGAACCUGCCUCUGACUUAGUACCACAGGGCUUCUCUAAGCAAAGUUCCUUUAGUUAG